rnacentral:rRNA from 1 species
UACGUAGGUGGCAAGCGUUGUCCGGAUUUACUGGGCGUAAAGAGCGCGCAGGCGGUCGUACAAGUCGCGUGUGAAAGCCCCCGGCUCAACUGGGGAGGGUCACGCGAUACUGUUCGACUCGAAGGCAGGAGAGGGAAGUGGAAUUCCCGGUGUAGUGGUGAAAUGCGUAGAUAUCGGGAGGAACACCAGUGGCGAAGGCGACUUCCUGGCCUGUUCUUGACGCUGAGGCGCGAAAGCUAGGGGAGCAAACGGG